GGGGAGGUGGUUGAGUGGUUGAAAACAACGGUUUGCUAAAUCGUCACACUAUUUUAAGUGUCAUGGGUUCGAAUCCCAUUCUUCCUG
rnacentral:tRNA from 1 species